rnacentral:rRNA from 1 species
UACGUAGGGUGCGAGCGUUGUCCGGAUUUAUUGGGCGUAAAGGGCUCGUAGGCGGCCUGUCGCGUCGGGAGUGAAAGCCCACUGCUUAACGGUGGGUCUGCUUCCGGUACGGGCGGGCUAGAGCAUGGCAGGGGAGACUGGAAUUCCUGGUGUAGCGGUGGAAUGCGCAGAUAUCAGGAGGAACACCGGUGGCGAAGGCGGGUCUCUGGUACGUGACUGACGCUGAGACGCGAAAGCGUGGGGAGCAAACAGG